rnacentral:rRNA from 1 species
AUUGAACGCUGGCGGCAGGCUUAACACAUGCAAGUCGAACGAGUGGCGGACGGGUGAGUAAUGCUUGGGAAUCUAGCUUAUGGGGGGGGAUAACUACGGGAAACUGUAGCUAAUACCGCGUACAAUAGGAUGAGCCAAAGUGGGAUUAGGUAGUUGGUGGGGUAAAGGCUCACCAAGCCGACGAUCUCUAGCUGGUCUGAGAGGAUGACCAGCCACAUUGGGACUGCUACACGGCCCAGACUCCUACGGGAGGCAGCAGUGGGGAAUAUUUCGCAAUGGGGGCAACCUGACGCAGCCAUGCCGCGUGAAUGAAGAAGGCCUUCGGGUUGUAAAGUUCUUUCGGUAGCGAGGCGUUAACUACAGAAGAAGCACCGGCUAACUCCGUGCCAGCAGCCGCGGUAAUAC